rnacentral:miRNA from 1 species
AGGGUCCUCGACAGCGAUCAAC